AACGAACGCUGGCGGCAUGCCUAACACAUGCAAGUCGAACGAGACCUUCGGGUCUAGUGGCGCACGGGUGCGUAACGCGUGGGAACCUGCCCUUAGGUUCGGAAUAACUCCCCGAAAGGGGUGCUAAUACCGGAUAAUGUCUUCGGACCAAAGAUUUAUCGCCUUUGGAUGGGCCCGCGUUGGAUUAGCUAGUUGGUAGGGUAAAAGCCUACCAAGGCGACGAUCCAUAGCUGGUCUGAGAGGAUGAUCAGCCACACUGGGACUGAGACACGGCCCAGACUCCUACGGGAGGCAGCAGUGGGGAAUAUUGGACAAUGGGCGAAAGCCUGAUCCAGCAAUGCCGCGUGAGUGAUGAAGGCCUUAGGGUUGUAAAGCUCUUUUACCCGGGAUGAAAUGACAGUACCGGGAGAAUAAGCUCCGGCUAACUCCGUG
rnacentral:rRNA from 1 species